rnacentral:rRNA from 1 species
GACGAACGCUGGCGGCGUGCCUAAUACAUGCAAGUUGAGCGAUGAAGAUUGGUGCUUGCACCAAUUUGCAGAGCAGCGAACGGGUGAGUAACGCGUGGGGAAUCUGCCUUUGAGCGGGGGACAACAUUUGGAAACGAAUGCUAAUACCGCAUAACAACUUUAAACAUAAGUUUUAAGUUUGAAAGAUGCCAUUGCAUCACUCAAAGAUGAUCCCGCGUUGUAUUAGCUAGUUGGUGAGGUAAAGGCUCACCAAGGCGAUGAUACAUAGCCGACCUGAGAGGGUGAUCGGCCACAGUGGGACUGAGACACGGCCCAAACUCCUACGGGAGGCAGCAGUAGGGAAUCUUCGGCAAUGGACGAAAGUCUGACCGAGCAACGCCGCGUGAGUGAAGAAGGUUUUCGGAUCGUAAAACUCUGUUGGUAGAGAAGAACGUUGGUGAGAGUGGAAAGCUCAUCAAGUGACGGUAACUACCCAGAAAGGGACGGCUAACUACGUG